UCUCACUUGUGCUAAUAAAUUCUGAGAAAUCUGCAAAGAAGUAAAAGCAUUUGACCCAAUAAAUAUGGAUAGAAUAGAGUCAUUGUAUUAACAUGAAUUCAUACCAAUGGUAGGCUUCAUUGCAUUGAAACCUCAAUUAGUUUGAAGUCUCGAUUUGGAUUUGGUUCUAUUGCCCAUGUGAGGUUCAUCGAAAGCACAAGCAGGAAUACUUGCCCCAAUGAGGAUGCAGUUACCAUGCCUUACGGGAAAGCCGUGAAGCAGUUCUUUAAAUAUCAUUUGGAUUAUAUGGGUCACGUCCUAUUGGUUAUGUAAUAAAGAGUGGUUGAUGUUGCACAAUUAUUAUUAAAUAGGUCAUGUUUAAAUUAA